rnacentral:rRNA from 1 species
UGGUGUUUCUGUCUUACCUUUUCUCUACUUUUUAGGGGCUGGUGGUGCUCUUCACCGAGUGUCACCCCUGGUCGGUACAGGCCGUUGAAAAAAUUAUAGUGCUCAAAGGGGUUUUUACCCCAUCGACUACUGUUGCAUGGAAUAGUGAAACAAGACUUUGGUUCUAUUUUGUUGGUCUUCGGAACCAAGGUAAUGAUUAAGAGGGACAGACGGGGGCAUUAAUAUUGGGACGCUAGAGGUGAAAUUCUUGGACCGGCGCAAGACUGACUAAAGCGAACGCAUUUGCCAAGAAUGUUUUCAUUAAUCAAGAACGAAAGUUAGAGGUUCCAAAGCGAUCAGAUGCCGCCCUAGCUCUAACCAUAAACGAUGCCCACCAUCCCUCGACCUGUGUUCUCUUGAUGACACCGCUGGCGGCUUCCAGUAAACCAAAGUCUUUCGAUUCCAGGGGAAGUAUGGUUGAAAACCUGAAACUAAAAGGAAUUUCCGGAAGGGCACCCCCCGGAGUGGAGCGGGGGGCUUAAUUUGACUCACCACGGGAAAACUCACCCGGCCCGGGCACUGGGAGGAUUUUCAGGUUCCAGCCCUUUAGGGAUUCACGCGGUGGACAGCAUGGCCGUUAAAGGGGGGCGGAGUGACAAGGCGGGGGAAUUCCCAUAAAAACCGAGACUCUACCCUACUAAAUUUUCCACGGCGUCCUCGGGAAGCCGGGACGCUUCGUAAAGGGACUUCAGC